rnacentral:rRNA from 1 species
UGUGGUAUUUUGACUAUACGAAGGUAUUGAAAUAAGGCUUUAAUUGAGUGCUAAGUGAAUGGUUUAACAAUGAUUAACUUUCUUGAAAUUUUUAAUAAAAGUUGAUUUAAAAAUGAAAAAGUUUUUAUGAGAUUUUGGGACAAGAAGACCCUAUGAAUUUUUUUUAUAAAAAUAUUUAUAAUUUAAGAAAAUGAAGUAUGUUUAUAAAUUGAUUGGGGUGAUUUUUAAAAAUUAAAAAACUUUAAAAUUGGAAGUAAUUAGAACCAAAAAUUUUGGUUAAUUAAAAAAAAUACUCUAGGGAUAACAGCGUUAUUAUUUUGGAUAGUUCAUAUAGAUAAAAUAGUUUGCGACCUCGAUGUUGGAUUAAGAUACUAAUAUAAUGAAGCAGUUAUAUUUAGAAGUUUGCUCAACUUUUAAAUUCU